rnacentral:rRNA from 1 species
AACGAACGCUGGCGGCAUGCCUAACACAUGCAAGUCGAACGAGACCUUCGGGUCUAGUGGCGCACGGGUGCGUAACGCGUGGGAACCUGCCCUUAGGUUCGGAAUAACUCCCCGAAAGGGGUGCUAAUACCGGAUAAUGUCUUCGGACCAAAGAUUUAUCGCCCUUGGAUGGGCCCGCGUUGGAUUAGCUAGUUGGUAGGGUAAAAGCCUACCAAGGCGACGAUCCAUAGCUGGUCUGGGAGGAUGAUCAGCCACACUGGGACUGAGACACGGCCCAGACUCCUACGGGAGGCAGCAGUGGGGAAUAUUGGACAAUGGGCGAAAGCCUGAUCCAGCAAUGCCGCGUGAGUGAUGAAGGCCUUAGGGUUGUAAAGCUCUUUUACCCGGGAUGAUAAUGACAGUACCGGGAGAAUAAGCUCCGGCUAACUCCGUG